UACGGAGGAUGCGAGCGUUAUCCGGAUUUCUUGGGUGUAAAGGGUGCGUAGGCGGCCUUGCAAGUCAGAAGUGAAAUCCAUGGGCUUAACCCGUGAACUGCUUUUGAAACUGUAGGGCUUGAGUGAAGUAGAGGCAGGCGGAAUUCCCGGUGUAGCGGUGAAAUGCGUAGAGAUCGGGAGGAACACCAGUGGCGAAGGCGGCCUGCUGGACAGCAACUGACGCUCAUGCACGAAAGCGUGGGUAUCGAACAGG
rnacentral:rRNA from 1 species